UCGGACAUGGUGUAUGGUACACCGCCUCUCGUCUUAACCGAAAAACUUGCAAUCAUGUUGGAGGCAGACCGGGGUUCGACUCCCCGUGUCCGAA